UACGUAGGGGGCAAGCGUUAUCCGGAUUUAUUGGGCGUAAAGAGCGUGUAGGCGGCCAGACAGGUCCGUUGUGAAAACUCGAGGCUCAACCUCGAGACGUCGACGGAAACCGUCUGGCUAGAGUCCGGAAGAGGAGUGUGGAAUUCCUGGUGUAGCGGUGAAAUGCGCAGAUAUCAGGAAGAACACCUAUGGCGAAGGCAGCACUCUGGGACGGUACUGACGCUGAGACGCGAAAGCGUGGGGAGCGAACAGG
rnacentral:rRNA from 1 species